AUUGAACGCUGGCGGCAUGCUUUACACAUGCAAGUCGAACGGCAGCGCGGGCUUCGGCCUGGCGGCGAGUGGCGAACGGGUGAGUAAUACAUCGGAACGUGCCCAGUAGUGGGGGAUAGCUCGGCGAAAGCCGGAUUAAUACCGCAUACGACCUGAGGGUGAAAGCGGGGGAUCUUCGGACCUCGCGCUAUUGGAGCGGCCGAUGGCAGAUUAGCUAGUUGGUGGGGUAAAGGCCUACCAAGGCGACGAUCUGUAGCUGGUCUGAGAGGACGACCAGCCACACUGGGACUGAGACACGGCCCAGACUCCUACGGGAGGCAGCAGUGGGGAAUUUUGGACAAUGGGCGAAAGCCUGAUCCAGCAAUGCCGCGUGUGUGAUGAAGGCCUUCGGGUUGUAAAACACUUUUGGCGGGAACGAAAAGGACUGUGCCAAUACCACGGUUCGAUGACGGUACCCGCAGAAUAAGCACCGGCUAACUACGUG
rnacentral:rRNA from 1 species